AUACGGAGGUGGCUAGCGUUGUUCGGAAUUACUGGGCGUAAAGCGCGUGUAGGCGGAUCGUUAAGUCAGGGGUGAAAGCCCGGAGCUCAACUCCGGAAUUGCCCUUGAUACUGGCGAUCUAGAGGCCGGGAGAGGUGAGCGGAAUUCCCAGUGUAGAGGUGAAAUUCGUAGAUAUUGGGAGGAACACCAGUGGCGAAGGCGGCUCACUGGCCCGGUUCUGACGCUGAGACGCGAAAGCGUGGGGAGCAAACAGGAUUAGAUACCCUAGUAGUCC
rnacentral:rRNA from 1 species